rnacentral:rRNA from 1 species
AGUGAACGCUGGCGGUAGGCCUAACACAUGCAAGUCGAACGGCAGCACAGUAAGAGCUUGCUCUUACGGGUGGCGAGUGGCGGACGGGUGAGGAAUACAUUGGAAUCUACUUUUUCGUGGGGGAUAACGUAGGGAAACUUACGCUAAUACCGCAUACGACCUACGGGUGAAAGCAGGGGAUCUUCGGACCUUGCGCGAUUGAAUGAGCCGAUGUCGGAUUAGCUAGUUGGCGGGGUAAAGGCCCACCAAGGCGACGACCCGUAGCUGGUCUGAGAGGAUGAUCAGCCACACUGGAACUGAGACACGGUCCAGACUCCUACGGGAGGCAGCAGUGGGGAAUAUUGGACAAUGGGCGCAAGCCUGAUCCAGCCAUACCGCGUGGGUGAAGAAGGCCUUCGGGUUGUAAAGCCCUUUUGUUGGGAAAGAAAAGCAGCAGGUUAAUACCCCGCUGUUCUGACGGUACCCAAAGAAUAAGCACCGGCUAACUUCGUG